UGCGAAGGGGGCUAGCGUUGUUCGGAAUUACUGGGCGUAAAGGGCGCGUAGGCGGCCUGCUAAGUCGAACGUGAAAUCCCUGGGCUCAACCCAGGAACUGCGUCCGAUACUGGUUGGCUUGAAUCCGGGAGAGGGAUGUGGAAUUCCAGGUGUAGCGGUGAAAUGCGUAGAUAUCUGGAGGAACACCGGUGGCGAAGGCGACAUCCUGGACCGGUAUUGACGCUGAGGCGCGAAAGCCAGGGGAGCAAACGGG
rnacentral:rRNA from 1 species